rnacentral:rRNA from 1 species
CAGCCGCCGCGGGAAUACGGAGGGGGCUAGCGUUGUUCGGAAUUACUGGGCGUAAAGCGCACGUAGGCGGCUUUGUAAGUUAGAGGUGAAAGCCCGGAGCUCAACUCCGGAAUUGCCUUUAAGACUGCAUCGCUUGAAUCCAGGAGAGGUGAGUGGAAUUCCGAGUGUAGAGGUGAAAUUCGUAGAUAUUCGGAAGAACACCAGUGGCGAAGGCGGCUCACUGGACUGGUAUUGACGCUGAGGUGCGAAAGCGUGGGGAGCAAACAGGAUUAGAUACCCCAGUAGUCCCUGUCUCUUAUAC